rfam:Salmo salar isolate Sally breed double haploid chromosome ssa19, whole genome shotgun sequence.
AAUGCACCAAUUUGUAAGUCGCUCUGGAUAAGAGCGUUUGCUAAAUGACUUAAA